GUGCCAGCCGCCGCGGUAAUACAGAGGUCUCAAGCGUUGUUCGGAUUCAUUGGGCGUAAAGGGUGCGUAGGUGGCGAGGCAAGUCGGAUGUGAAAUCCCGGGGCUUAACCCCGGAACUGCAUUCGAUACUGCCUUGCUCGAGUACUGGAGAGGAGACUGGAAUUUACGGUGUAGCAGUGAAAUGCGUAGAUAUCGUAAGGAAGACCAGUGGCGAAGGCGAGUCUCUGGACAGUUACUGACACUGAGGCACGAAGGCCAGGGGAGCAAACGGGAUUAGAUACCCUUGUAGUCC
rnacentral:rRNA from 1 species